ACGUGAUCUGAGUUCAGACCGGAGUAAUCCAGGUCGGUUUCUAUCUAUAUCAAAGCUUAUUCUAGUACGAAAGGACCRAAAAAGCAUGGCCUAUACUAAGAGCAAGCCACCACUAGAAAAUUCUGCCCCUCACUCAAGUUAUAACUAGUCUUCAACUUCCCUUAAAACAAAAGG
rnacentral:rRNA from 1 species